rnacentral:rRNA from 1 species
ACCCUUGACAUGUCUGGAAUGCCGAAGAGAUUUGGCAGUGCUCGCAAGAGAACCGGAACACAGGUGCUGCAUGGCUGUCGUCAGCUCGUGUCGUGAGAUGUUGGGUUAAGUCCCGCAACGAGCGCAACCCUUGUCAUUAGUUGCUACGAAAGGGCACUCUAAUGAGACUGCCGGUGACAAACCGGAGGAAGGUGGGGAUGACGUCAAGUCCUCAUGGCCCUUAUGGGUAGGGCUUCACACGUCAUACAAUGGUCGGGACAGAGGGUCGCCAACCCGCGAGGGGGAGCCAAUCCCAGAAACCCGAUCGUAGUCCGGAUUGCAGGCUGCAACUCGCCUGCAUGAAGUCGGAAUCGCUAGUAAUCGCGGAUCAGCAUGUCGCGGUGAAUACGUUCCCGGGUCUUGUACACACCGCCCGUCACACCAUGGGAGUGGGUUUUACCAGAAGUAGUUAGCCUAACCGCAAGGAGGGCGAUUACCACGGUAGGAUUCAUGACUGGGGUGAAGUCGUAACAAGGUAGGCGUAGUGCU